UCUCCUCGCCGCUUUCUCAAGUGCGUCCAAUCACUCCCUUUUCUGAUUCGUCUCCGUCUGCAAAGCCAGAAAGGAUAGGGGGAGAAAGUGAAGGAAAAAGCAGCAAAGAAAGUGAAGAGAAAAAGGCGAGAAAAUCCGCUUAGAAAAUCAUUCCGCCCUCUCAAUUUCAGCUCUCAAUUGGUUGGUCUGGUCUGGUCUCCUAGGGCAAAAACUGCCGGUUGAAGUGAGAGAAAAAGCAAUGAGCAUUAUUCCUCUGCCCGCGAGGCACUUGCUGCCCCUCACCACUGCCACCAUUGAUUUCCCCUCCAAACCCUCCUCGAGAUCCUUCCACAGCAGCAGCCCUCCGAUUGCCGGAGCUGAUUUGAGCGUCUUCUCUCGGUUGCUUCAAUCCUUCUCAUUUUUGUGCCGGAUGGCCUCGAAGGAAGAGACUUUCGUCUUCCCAACAGACGGGGCUCUGUUUUUAUGUGCUGGUAUAGUGGCUUUGUGGGAUUAUGAGAAGGAUCAAGAUGUCAACAAUUCAGACUUCGGAGAGGAGAGUGAAAUGCGGAUGCUUGGUUCAAAGAUGAUGCAGGCACUCAAAUUCCAACUCAAGCUCAAUCUCUUGUGGAAGGAUCUGGUGCUGUCCUAGUAUCAGAAUACAAACCAGUUCCCGAAGUUGAUUAUUUGCAGGAGUUAUUGGCCAUUCAACAGCAAGGCCCUCGAGCUAUUGGCUUCUUUGGGACAAGAAACAUGGGAUUCAUGCAUCAGGAACUAAUUGAGAUUCUCAGCUAUGCAAUGGUUAUAACUAAAAAUCACAUAUAUACAUCAGGGGCAUCCGGGACUAAUGCAGCCGUCAUUAGAGGUGCUUUAAGAGCAGAAAAGCCGGAUCUGCUUACGGUAAUCUUACCUCAGAGUUUGAAAAAGCAGCCUCCAGAGAGCCAGGAAUUAUUGUCUAAAGUCCAGAAUGUGAUAGAGAAGCCUUAUAAUGACCAUCUACCUUUAAUAGAAGCAAGCAGGCUGUGUAAUAUGGACAUAAUCUCACAAGUACAGCAAGUUAUCUGCUUUGCGUUCCAUGACAGCAGGUUGCUCAUGGAAACAUGCCAGGAGGCCAAGAAUCUCCGGAAGAUAGUGACAUUAUUUUACCUGGAUUAGCGGAAUCUAUUCAUGUUCAGUAUAUUUUUUUGUCAUGAUGGGUAGGGAGAACAUGCCGCCCCAGGAAUGGACAAUGUUGCUUAUGAUGGGGUGUCGGUUAGCUGGAGACAAAUCUGUUGACAUUUGAAAACUUGUAAAAUCUUAAGAGGGCCAAUUUGCUCCUCUCUUUUAUUUAAAAAUAAGUCAAGUAUAGGAAUGAAGCAUGUUUAUUUUUGUCUAGCAAAGAUGUUAUAAUGAGAGAUUAGAUUCUGUAAUUAUUCGCAUGUGGUCCCUAUUGCUGUUCAAUUUAGUGCUGUGCAAACGACUGGAGAAUAGAGGAGAUUGACCGUUAGGAAUAUUAGCAUUGUAUAUUUGUUGAAAGAUUACUGUUAAUCGAGGAGUUUGAGAUUUAAGGUC